UGGGGAAUAUUGCACAAUGGUCGCAAGCCUGAUGCAGCCAUGCCGCGUGUAUGAAGAAGGCCUUCGGGUUGUAAAGUACUUUCAGUCGGGAGGAAGGUGGUAAGGUUAAUAACCUUGGCAAUUGACGUUACCGACAGAAGAAGCACCGGCUAACUCCGUGCCAGCAGCCGCGGUAAUACGGAGGGUGCAAGCGUUAAUCGGAAUUACUGGGCGUAAAGCGCACGCAGGCGGUUGAUUGAGUCAGAUGUGAAAUCCCCGGGCUUAACCCGGGAAUUGCAUCUGAUACUGGUCAGCUAGAGUCUUGUAGAGGGGGGUAGAAUUCCAUGUGUAGCGGUGAAAUGCGUAGAGAUGUGGAGGAAUACCGGUGGCGAAGGCGGCCCCCUGGACAAAGACUGACGCUCAGGUGCGAAAGCGUGGGGAGCAAACAGG
rnacentral:rRNA from 1 species